CCUACGGGUGGCUGCAGUGGGGAAUAUUGCUCAAUGGGGGAAACCCUGAUGCAGCGACGCCGCGUGAGUGAAGAAGGAAUUCGUGAUGGAAAGCUCUAUCAGCAGGGAAGAAAAUGACGGUACCUGAGUAAGAAGCCCCGGCUAACGACGUGCCAGCAGCCGCGGGAAUACGUAGGGGGCAAGCGUUAUCCGGAUUGACUGGGUGUAAAGGGAGCGUAGACGGCAGUGCAAGUCUGGAGUGAAAGGCGGGGGCUCAACCCCCGGACUGCUCUGGAAACUGUACUGCUGGAGUGCAGGAGAGGUAAGUGGAAUGCCUGGUGUAGCGGUGAAAUGCGUAGAUAUUAGGCGGAACACCAGUGGCGAAGGCGGCUUACUGGACUGUAACUGACGUUGAGGCUCGAAAGCGUGGGGAGCAAACAGGAUUAGAUACCCGGGUAGUC
rnacentral:rRNA from 1 species